rnacentral:rRNA from 1 species
AAGACCUUGCACUUUUGGGGCGGCCGAUGUCUGAUUAGCUAGUUGGUGGGGUAAUGGCCUACCAAAGCUUCGAUCAGUAGCUGGUCUGAGAGGACGGCCAGCCACACUGGGACUGAGACACGGCCCAGACUCCUACGGGAGGCAGCAGUGGGGAAUUUUGGACAAUGGGCGCAAGCCUGAUCCAGCCAUGCCGCGUGAGUGAAGAAGGCCUCGGGUUGUAAAGCUCUUUCAGCCGGGAAGAAAAGGUUGCGACUAAUAAUCGCAAUCCAUGACGGUACCGAAAGAAGGAGCACCGGCUAACUACGUGCCAGCAGCCACGGUAAUACGUAGGGUGCGAGCGUUAAUCGGAAUUACUGGGCGUAAAGGGUGCGCAGGCGGUUUUGUAAGUCAGAUGUGAAAUCCCCGGGCUUAACCUGGGAACU